AAUAGAUACCCCGGUAGUCCUGGCCGUAAACGAUGGGCACUGGGUAGGGGGCUCGCCGAUGGGCUCCCUGUCGUAGAGAAACCGUGAAGUGCCCCGCCUGGGGAGUAUGGUCGCAAGGCUGAAACUCAAAGGAAUUGACGGGGGCUCACACAAGCGGUGGAGCAUGUGGCUUAAUUCGAGGCUACGCGCAAAACCUUAUCCUGGGCUUGACAUGCACGGAUUAGCCGGCGGAAACGUCGGUGACGCGCAAGUGGAACGUGCACAGGUGCUGCAUGGCUAUCGUCAGCUCGUGUCGUGAGAUGUUGGGUUAAGUCCCGUAACGAGCGAAACCCCUGUGAUUAGUUGCCAACGGGUCAUGCCGGGGACUCUAAUCAGACCGCCGGCGUUAAGCCGGAGGAAGGCGGGGACGACGUCAAGGUCCUCAUGGCCCUUAUGCCCAGGGCUGCACACGUGCUACAAUGGGCCGGACAGAGCGACGCUAAGCCGCAAGGCCAGCCAAUCGCAAAACGGCCCCAGUUCGGAUUGCGGGCUGCAACCCG
rnacentral:rRNA from 1 species